rnacentral:rRNA from 1 species
CUACGGGGGGCACCAGUGGGGAAUAUUGCACAAUGGAGGAAACUCUGAUGCAGCAACGCCGCGUGGAGGAUGACACUUUUCGGAGCGUAAACUCCUUUUAUAUAGGAAGAUAAUGACGGUACUAUAUGAAUAAGCACCGGCUAACUCCGUGCCAGCAGCCGCGGUAAUACGGAGGGUGCAAGCGUUACUCGGAAUCACUGGGCGUAAAGAGCGUGUAGGCGGGUUAAUAAGUCAGAAGUGAAAUCCUAUGGCUCAACCAUAGAACUGCUUUUGAAACUGUUAACCUAGAGUGUGGGAGAGGUAGAUGGAAUUUCUGGUGUAGGGGUAAAAUCCGUAGAGAUCAGAAGGAAUACCGAUUGCGAAGGCGAUCUACUGGAACAUAACUGACGCUGAGACGCGAAAGCGUGGGGAGCAAACAGGAUUAGAUACCCUUGUAGUC